GCCUGGAUAGUUCAGUUGGUUAGAACAUCGUGCUGAUAAUGCCAAGGUGGCAGGUUUGAUCCCUGUAUAGGACA